rnacentral:misc_RNA from 1 species
GUUUUCUUGGCGUUAUUAGUCCUGCCGGCCGGCCUGGAGGGGAGGAUCGAUCAGCAAGGCCAAUAGCCAAUAGCCAGGAGCCAGUCGCCAGCCAGCCAGCCAGCCGCAUAAAUCCAUCCAUCUCCUCCAUCUUGCUCUCCCUCUCCCUGCAGGCCGGCAGCCGCUGGAGGCACAGACGACAAGGCAUCGGCCCCGGAUCGAGCCCGACCCCUCUUCUCGUCUCGUCUCGUCUCUGCGCUGGGAACGCCGGCUGCCAUGGCUCAGCAGAAGAACGCGCACGUGCCCAAGUUCGGCAACUGGGACAGCGACGGCAACGUGCCGUACACGCUCUUCUUCGAGAACGCGCGCAAGGGCAAGGGAGCCGGAGCCGCCGGCGGCAGGAUGAUCAACCCCAACGACCCCGCCGAGAACCCGGAGGCCUUCUCCGUGGCCGCGCCGUCGCCGCCGCCGGGCCGCCACGAGCGCCGCCCCAGCGACGCGCCGCCGCCGCCGAUGUCGCCCAACCCCUACUACGCCGCCGGGUCGCCGUACCACCGCCACGCCGCCGGCGAGCCGCCAAGGAGGGCCGCCGGGUACAGCGUCGACCAGUCGCCGGCGCACCCCUACAGCUCCGAGAGCGCCGGGUACGGCCUCGUCGCCAGCUCCGUCGACCGCUCCCGCGCCAAGGGCGCCUCGCGCGGCAACGAGACGCCGACGAGGGGCUCGGCGGUGCCCAAGUUCGGCGACUGGGACGCCAACCCGGCGUCGGCGGACGGCUACACGCACAUCUUCAACAAGGUGAGGGAGGAGAAGCAGACGACCCAGGCGGGGAAGCCAGCGGCGUACGGCAAGGACGGCAUGCGUACCAACGGCCCCAAGCAGCACGACGACGACGGCUACGUCUCAUCGAAAUUCUCGUGCUUUGGGUGGUGCAAGUAGAGAGCGAUUGCCUGAUGAAUGGUGACGAUGGAUGGAUGGAUGCAGACGCUGGUUCCUCUGGGUCUGGGGAUGUAAGUCUGGAGAACGAGGGGCAUGAAACGAUCUCCAUGAUCUUUCCUGUGGUAGAUUUUCACUUCAAUUUAUGAAGUGAGACAUAGAGUUGCUGUCAUGUUAGAAGUAAGCAUUCCAUUGUUGCGUUGGUUCUUCCGUAUUGAAUUGAAUUUACAGUACAUGUAUCAUGUAUGUACGAUUGUACGCAGGAUUGGACUCUGAACUCCGAGGUGAAUAUAUGUGUGUUUGUUUGGUGUCCA